CCGGGUCGAGUUCGCUACCGAUACCAAUAGUAUAUUCACCUGUUACCUAUUACCUUAUCUGUACGUUCCGCAUCUGACAGGCGCACCACCAAACGUUGUAUUCAGGAUUAAUAUGCUAUAUACACGGGUCAUAACCACAGGGUUGACACUACUAAAUUGUCAAAUUGUUACCUAUUUUAGUAUUUUAAUCAGUAAGGCUUUCUAAGAUAACAAUACGAAUACUAAAAAUCUGGACUAAAAAUAAGGCGUA
rnacentral:lncRNA from 1 species